CUUACUCUUAUAUCUUUAGUAACAGAGUAGUUCCAAACCCCAACAAAAAGCUUUUCAGUUGGAUCUGUAUAUUCAAGAUCCCUAGAAAAAUAAAUUUCUUUCUCUGGCUUUUCCAUUAUAAUAACCUCUCUACCAAGGCCACUCUCUUCUGUAGAGGUACUAAUAUCAUCCUAUCCUAUCAAAUAUGCAAUUAUCAGCUAGAGGACAUCCUCCACAUCCUCUUUAAUUUUGCUUUUGCUAGAAUUUCUGGACUAAACUUACCCAAAAAUCUAAUUGGGACCCUUCUGCACCCUAUAAUGUUCUCAACUUCAAACUGGGAAAGCACUUCGGAAAACUUGAGGCAUUAUCACUUGGAGCAUCCUCAUUCCUUUUUGAUUAUGAAGUAUUUGGAGGACUAGGAAUAAUAAUUUCUUCAAUAUGGUUAAGUUGUGGAAUUUUUCCACCUCAGUAACUUUAUCAAACCCCAUCCUAGAGAUACUAUAACUAUUGGAUGGACCCCUCCCUAAAAUCACCACUACAGGCUCAACACUAAUGGAUCUUGCAUGGGAAAUCCAGGUAGAGGUGAUAUUGAGGGAGUGGUGAGAAACUAUAUAGGGGAAUAGAUCUUUGAGUUCCUUAAAAUCUAUAUGUAUGCCACUGGCAACCUUAUGGAACUCUUUGAACUUAGGGAAGGACUCAAACUAGUACUUGAACAUAACCCUAUUCCUAUUAAAAUCAACAUUUACUUGGUAGAGAUUAUUCACAUGCUCCAUAAAGGUAACUUGCUAUGUGAUUCCAUCAUUGAUGAGAGCAUGUUGUUGAUUAGAAGAUUGGUAGGUCCAGUCGUGCACCAUAUCUACAGGGAA
rnacentral:lncRNA from 1 species